rnacentral:rRNA from 1 species
UACGUAGGGGGCAAGCGUUGUCCGGAUUUAUUGGGCGUAAAGAGCGUGUAGGCGGCCAGGUAGGUCAGCUGUGAAAACUCGAGGCUCAACCUCGAGACGUCGGUUGAAACCACCUGGCUAGAGUCCGGAAGAGGAGAGUGGAAUUCCUGGUGUAGCGGUGAAAUGCGCAGAUAUCAGGAAGAACACCCGUGGCGAAGGCGGCUUUCUGGGACGGUACUGACGCUGAGACGCGAAAGCGUGGGGAGCGAACAGG